rnacentral:misc_RNA from 1 species
CAAAUCCGCCUGCGCCUCACCCAACACGUACAUGGAAGAGUCGGCGCAUGGGUUUUCGUUUAUGUGCGCUUAUAAUCCGUUGCAGCGCAGUGGGAAGUCGAAAGUAAAAAAAGAAGUCUACCUCACUCCACCUGCUCAAGUUGUGCGGUGCCCGAUCGAUCCUACGUGAACCGUUCAGGAAUCAUAAGCUAGUCCGCUGCUGCAACUGCCUCCAUCGACUGUCUAUGGAUGCAGCAGUGUGUCAGCAGAAGAGCACGGUGUUGACCAUUGCACGACUCUCUCACGGGCACGCACACGCAUCCAGACAUCUUGAGACCUAUUGAAGGUUUGGUGUAUGUUUGCAAUUCUUCGAUGCUUUUCCGAUCGCGUCGAAGCACCGCAAGUGCUGGUGGGCUGAGCCCGCGCCACGUCGUCUCUCCCUCCUAUGAGCGACCCAGCUCGGCCCCGGUGGCUGGGGUGGUUCCGCUCAACCCGAGUACAAGCGUCCCUAUUCUUCCCAUCAGCGGCUCAGUCGGCGGACUGCACAGCGUGGAGGAUCGUCUGCGCAUUGUGAAGCGUAACCGCACCCGUGAUGAUGAUUUAACGCGCACACCACCGUCGCCGCGUUUGCAGGAGGCGCUUGCCAUCACCUCAGACCCCUCCUAUCCAGAGGUAAAUGCCUCUCCCUCGGUGACUGCCGGCACGGCACCUCCCUGCGCCGCGUACCCGACCUUCAGCAUGGCCCGCCUACCCAAGCAUGAGCAGCACGUGAUGGACGCGAUGGUGCGUGAGUUCACCGAAGUCUUGUUCUUUGCGAAAUCGUGAGCAAGCGGAAGGCAGAUCAUCGGUAGGAAGAAAGCGCGACGCCAGCGCACACGUAGGAGACGACGCGGAAAAGCGUGACACCUCUGGUUUGGGCUCGACUGCCGACGUGUUGUGCCGCGAUUCGAUCCACCGCUCCCCCACCACUGCUCCUCUCAGCACUGUUUCUCCUCCUUCAUGGCCGCCACAACUCUGUACUAGUGGUCACCCCCUCCACAAGAACG